GUUAGUAAUUACAAAUUGGUACGGUUUUCAUUUCAAGUCUGUCAAAACAUUAACGAAACCGAACUUCGUUCAGAAACGUUUCGCGCCACCAAUAAUAUUAUGCGCAUCGUUGCGUACAGAUAUCAUAUAAAUUAAAUUAUCCCAUACAACGUUCCGUCUUCCGGACUUCCCUCCUACGACAAUAAUAGCCCGUACAUACAAACAGCAUCCUGUACUUGGAGCGCGCAUG